rnacentral:rRNA from 1 species
GAACGAACGCUGGCGGCAGGCCUACCACAUGCAAGUCGAGCGAGGACUUCGGUCCUAGCGGCGGACGGGUGAGUAACGCGUGGGAACGUGCCCUUUGCUUCGGAAUAGCCCUGGGAAACUGGGAGUAAUACCGGAUGAGCCCUUUGGGGGAAAGAUUUAUCGGCGAAGGAUCGGCCCGCGUUGGAUUAGGUAGUUGGUGGGGUAAUGGCCUACCAAGCCGACGAUCCAUAGCUGGUUUGAGAGGAUGAUCAGCCACACUGGGACUGAGACACGGCCCAGACUCCUACGGGAGGCAGCAGUGGGGAAUCUUAGACAAUGGGGGAAACCCUGAUCUAGCCAUGCCGCGUGAGCGAUGAAGGCCUUAGGGUUGUAAAGCUCUUUCAGCUGGGAAGAUAAUGACGGUACCAGCAGAAGAAGCCCCGGCUAACUCCGUG